GACAGAGGGUGCAAACGUUGUUCGGAAUUACUGGGCGUAAAGCGCGUGUAGGCGGCUCGGAAAGUCGGGUGUGAAAGCCCUGGGCUCAACCCAGGAAGUGCAUUCGAAACUCCCGAGCUCGAGUCCUGGAGAGGAUGGUGGAAUUCUCGGUGUAGAGGUGAAAUUCGUAGAUAUCGAGAGGAACACCGGUGGCGAAGGCGACCAUCUGGACAGUGACUGACGCUGAGACGCGAAAGCGUGGGGAGCAAAC
rnacentral:rRNA from 1 species